rnacentral:rRNA from 1 species
GGGCCCGCACAAGCGGUGGAGCAUGUGGUUUAAUUCGAUGAUACGCGAGGAACCUUACCAGGGCUUAAAUGUAGUAUGACCGGUCUGGAAACAGACCUUCCCUUCGGGGCAGAUUACAAGGUGCUGCAUGGUUGUCGUCAGCUCGUGCCGUGAGGUGUUAGGUUAAGUCCUGCAACGAGCGCAACCCCUAUUCUUAGUUGCCAGCGGUUCGGCCGGGGACUCUAAGAAGACUGCCAGCGCAAGCUGAGAGGAAGGUGGGGAUGACGUCAAAUCAUCACGGCCCUUACGUCCUGGGCUACACACGUGCUACAAUGGUAGAGACAGAGGGCAGCCACCUGGCGACAGGGAGCGAA